UGCAAAGACAGCCCUGAAGAGCCAUCCGGCUAGAAACCGUCUGCAAGGCUCCGUAUGGAAGAAAGCUGCUUGAGUUCGUUGAACACCUACCGUGUGCCGGGCAUGGCGCUGAGCUGCGAACCACUCGCCGAGGAGAAAUUCACAGAGAAUUGCUGGCUUGAGGGAAGGCUUUUGCUGCAAAGUUCACGAGGCCACAGAGUGGUGAUCUCACCUGGAAGAGACAGAGCCAACCGGUGACAUGGAGGAUAAGGCAGCUGGAUCCCACACAGCCAACUACAAGAUCAAGUCCUGGAUCUGCAGCUUCAGAAAC